CUUUUCUUAAAAUUAAGUUGUGUGGGCUUCCCUGGUGGCACAGCGGUUGAGAGUCCGCCUGCCGAUGCAGGGGACACGGGUUCGUGCCCCGGUCCGGGAGGAUCCCACAUGCCGCGGAGCGGCUGGGCCCGUGAGGCGUGGCCGCUGAGCCUGCGCGUCCGGAGCCUGUGCUCCGCAACGGGAGAGGCCACAACAGUGAGAGGCCCACAUACCGCAAAAAAAAUAAAAUAAAAAUAAAAAUUAAGUUGUGUGAAGUGAAAUUCCUAUUCGUCGUCCCUCUUGUUCUUGUAUUUUGUCUGAUUGUUUUUCUUUAGGCCAAUCCAUAUCAAGGUUUUAGCUGCCCUUCCCUGAAGGGUAGGUACCGAAUCCUUUUAAUGUGCUUGAUAAGGCACCCAUCCCUAUUUAUGAACAGUUUUUUGGUUGUUGUUAAAGCAUCUCCAGUAUCUGGGCAAGAAUAAAUCGAGUAAGUCAUGUUCCAUAAGUCGCUUGUGAUCAGACACCUUGCCUUAUGUCUUUUUUUUUUUAAAGAGAUUUUUAAUUUUUAUUUAUUUAUUUGUUUGGCUGCGUUGGGUUUUCGUUGCUGCGCGUGGGCUUUCUCUAGUUGUGUCGAGCGGAGGCUACUCUUCAUUGCGGUGCGCGGGCUUCUCAUUGCGGUGGCUUCUCUUGUUGCAGAGCACAGGCUCUAGGCACAUGGGCUGCAGUAGUUGUGGUGCAUGGGCUCAGUAGUUGUGGCUUGCAGGCUCUAGAGCGCAGGCUCAGUAGUUGUGGUGCACGGGCUUAGUUGCUCCGAGGCAUGUGGGAUCUUCCCAGACCAGGGCUCGAACCCGUGUCCCUGCAUUGGCAGGCGGAUUCUUAACCACUGCACCACCAGGUUAGUCCCUGCCUUGUGUCUUAAUGGGAAACCAUGAAGAAUCAGAAGAGUGGAUCUAGAGAUAAAAGCCAAGAGAAUUUCUGAGAACAGAGUGCAGGAACCAUCCAGCCAGGAGUCAAGGAUAGAAUUGAAGUUCAAAUAGAACAAGGACUUUGCCUCAAGAAUUUGAGUCAAGUUGACUGUGUUUUUUUUUUGUUUUUUUUUUUUGUGAAUAAUAUUUCUUUCUCAUGCUGUAAGUUCUAUUUUAUUUUAUUUUUUUUGGCUGCGCCGUGUGGCAUGUGGGAUCUUAGUUCCCGACCAGGGAUCGAACCUGUACCCCCUGCAGUGGAAGCACCGAGUCCUAACCCCUGGACCGCCAGGGAAGUCCCUGACUGUGUGUGAUUUCAGCACGUAUGCAGUGACCCCCUUCUCUUUUUCUUCACUUUCCGCAGAACCCAAAAUUUAUUGGGGUAUCCACUGGUUUAGGGCUGCUGUAACACAUGACCACAAACUGGCUGGCUGGAAGAAAAGACAUUUAUUCUCACAGUUCAGGAGGCUGGGAGCCUAAAAUCCAGAGCUCCAUAUUUACCCAUGUGAAAGGGGGCUGCCAACUGCACGUGAAUCUUACGAAAACUCCAGUGUGGGAAUCAUUGAAGGAUCUUUGAAGAAUCCAGAUGGCCCCCUUUCCAGGAAAAAGUCCUCCUAUUGUUGCAGGAAGGGGGCCCCUUCCAGGGCCCCAGAGUGGGCUCUUGUCUAACACUUGGAAAUGAAUUGUCUGAAGAGACACACGUGCCGACAAAGCAAGAGACUUUAUUGGGAAGGAGCGAGCAGGCGGAGAGCAGCAAGGUAAGGGAACCCAGGAGACCUGCUCUGCCACGUGGCUCGCAGUCUCGGGUUUUAUGGUGAUGGGGUUAGUUUCUGGGUUGUCUCUGGCCAGUCGUCUUGCUUGGCCCAUAGUCUGACUCAGGGUCCUUCCUGGUGGCGCAUGCAUCUCUCAGCCCAGAUGGAUUCCAGGGUGAGGGCUUCUGGGAGGUUGGUCGUCUCCUCCCUCUUUUGGCCCCUCCUGAAUUCUCCUGGUUAGUUUUCAGCAACACCCUAUUCCUUAUCAGGACCUCCUGCUGUGAGACAACUCAGGCAAGCAGGCCUGGCCACAGCAGGUGGUUUUGGUCAACAGUGCCCUAGCACUAUAAUAUGUGUACCCAUCUGUGUGUAUGCGUGUGUCUGUGUCUGUGUGCAUAAAGAAAAGCAAAGCGUGAAAGCAUACAUUCCAGGCUGUUUGAAUUGGUUUCUUUGUGGGAUUGGUGAGUAGGAGAAACUCAUUCAUUCAUUUGUUCAUUCAUAAUGUCAUUCAUUCAUUUGCUCAUUCAUGUUUUCAUUCAAUUAAUAUUGAUUUAAGGUCUGCUACGUGUCAGGCAUUGUAGCCCUGGGGAUACAGCCAUGAACAAAACAGACUAAAUUGCUCUUUCAU